GGGCCGUUAGCUCAGUUGGCUAGAGCGCCGCAUUUGCAAUGCGGAGGUCGCGAGUUCGAGCCUCGCACGGUCCACCA
rnacentral:tRNA from 1 species